rnacentral:rRNA from 1 species
CGUAGGUGGCAAGCGUUGUCCGGAUUUAUUGGGUUUAAAGGGUGCGUAGGCGGCCUUAUAAGUCAGUGCUGAAAUAUCCCGGCUUAACCGGGAGGGUGGCAUUGAUACUGUAGGGCUUGAGUGUAGUCGAGGUAGGCGGAAUUGACGGUGUAGCGGUGAAAUGCUUAGAUAUCGUCAAGAACACCGAUAGUGUAGACAGCUUACUAGGCUACAACCGACGCUGAGGCACGAAAGUGUGGGGAUCAAACAGGAUUAGAUACCCUGGUAGUCCACACUGUAAACGUUGAUUACUCGAUGUUGGCGAUACACAGUCAGCGUCUUAGCGCAAGCGAUAAGUAAUCCACCUGGGGAGUACGCCGGCAACGGUG